CAUGUAGGCGGUCAGGUAAGUGGAAUGUGAAAUGCCCCGGCUCACCCGGGGACCGGCAUCCCAAACUGCCUGGCUUGAGUAUGGGAGAGGAUGGAGGAAUUCCUGGUGUAGCGGUGAAAUGCGUAGAUAUCAGGAGGAACACCGGUGGCGAAGGCGUCCAUCUGGCCCAAUACUGACGCUGAGGCGCGAAAGCUAGGGGAGCAAACG
rnacentral:rRNA from 1 species